rnacentral:lncRNA from 1 species
CUUUCUCGAGAAUGCACACACGGAUUCCUGCUUCUGCGAGUCGAUAUGCAGCAAUCGAUCCUCCAUAGCCAGAUCCAACAACAACCGCGUCGUACCCGACUUGGAUGGUACGUUCCACUUGCGUUUGAGACAUAACUCGUCUCACUUUUGUUCUCCCCUCUUUGUUCUCCCCUCUUACAGAAAUUCACCCUCGUCGAGAUGUUCUAGGGACAAAGAACUGCCUAUCAAGGUACCAUCCUUCAGCACAACACGCAUACAAAUUUGACGUUGAAUUUGUUUCGUUUACUUUUUUAUUUUUUGGUAGACUUUAACAUCCUCACUUUAAUAUGAUUAGCACUAGUCCUUACUAUAUUGUUAGGAUCGGACUCACUCCUUUAAAGAAAAAAAAUUAAGAUUGAGG